ensembl:lncRNA
GCAGAUGACAACUACAAAAGGAAUUUGAAGAACAUGUGAAACUUGUUUUUUUUUUUUUUUUUUUUUUUUUUUUUGGUAGAUUAGCAGGUCUAUUUUAAAAAGGUAAUUCAGCUAAAGGGCAAUUUACUUUUUUGUACUUCAGACUAUCUUGAUUGUCAAAGUGUACGAACUGUAAUUUUAAAAUUUAUACUGCCACAUGAUUGUAAAUUUUAGUUGUCUUAGGAAUUGGUGAAAAGCUAUUUAUGCUGGAUUUGGGUCAAAAUGACUUAUUUGCAAAAAAAAUAAAUAAAUAAUGGGAAGAAAGGGCUGUAUAAUGAAAUACUGCAAGACUCACCUAUUGGUUGGAAAUUUCCCUCAAAUCACCUACCGAUUACCCUUGAUUUCCCUUUGUUUUCAGUUUCUCAAAACGAAUGAAAUGAAAUAUAGCAGAAUGUUAACCCAUAUAAAAAUAAAGUGUACCCAAAUAUUGUAAUGUAUAUUGCUGCUCUUCUUCAAAUUAAAUAAGGGUUUAAAACCACUUAAUUGGUAAUCAACAUCUCAAUUGAUACAAAUAAGGUGUGCUUGGUAUACAUUAAUAUUUUCUUCCAAAGAUACGUCUUUGGUCAGAAACACAAAAAAAAACUAGUAACAUAGUAUGUUUAUCUAUCUCUACAUAUUUCCAGCAUAUGUAGCGCUAAUAGAUCUGUCCUGGUAACUGUGUCUUUGGGAUUUCAUUUUGAUGCCAUCAAAUUAGGAGAAGAAAUGGCUUAGUUGUAUAUGAUUAGCUAGAGAUUUUUGGAGCCAGACACCUGCUGUUUAUUAGAUAACUUAGUACAGAGUCUAAACUUGUCAUUUGUUUUUCUCACAGAAUAGCCAUUUCCUGCUGUCUUCCCAAUGACCACUGCCCUUUCAAUAACACUCUUGCCUCUAGAAUCAUAUGUUGAAAGUAUGAAUACACACCUAGCACAUAGUAGGUGCUCAAAUAUUAAUUUCCUCCUUGCCUUCCUUAUCUACCCUGUGUCCUCCUUUUCCCCGUAUGAUUCCAACCCAAUAGCAAAGGACAUUUACAUGUGAUGAAAACAUCUAUUGGGUAAAAUCAGAUCUUGGAUAAAGAAAUUCUGACUUUUAUAUAAGCUGUUGGUAAACAGAAAAAACAGGAAGGUAUUCGUCGGUAGAACAUUUUUAAGUGCAGGAAAGAAAGCUGGAAUAAUACUAUGUAACUUUGUCCAGGUUACUUUGACUGAAACACGUUUUUGGUGGAUUUCUUUUCCUCAAAGAACUCUCUAAAUGCAACUCCUUGCUGGAUUCCUCACCCAUCAUCCUGUUGGAAACCCUUACUAGACCUAUGGAUUUAGGGAGUUUUGUCAGAAAACAUUUUUAACUUGCAGUAUUUAAAAGAAUAUUUACUGUUCCUAAAAUGUCAUUCAAAUGCAUGUAUUGUCUAUUGUUUGGGGAUGGGAACUAGUUUUGCAAAAAACACCUAAUGUUGUAUAAUAAUGCCCCAAUUGAUCUUGCUGGUUAAAAAUACAGUAUUUUUGGCCAUAAUUUUGUACUAUAGUAUUCUUCAUUGUUGAGUUUUGCUUCCGUUGAAGUUGCCCAAGCCCCUCUCAGAAUGUUUUGUAUUAGCAGGAGUAUUGAAAUACAUCUUUCCUUCCUUAACACACCUUUUUGUGCACACUGCAUUUUCCAAAAUAAACAAGUUUAAUGGUUUCAAAAAAAAAAAAA